rnacentral:rRNA from 1 species
ACCUAUUACCAAACCUCCUUUUCAAUGCCUGAUCUUGUCUGACCUCGGAAGUUAAGCAGGGUUGAGCCUGGUCAAGUAUUUGGAUGGGAGACCACAGUGAAUAUCAAGUACAACAGGGA